CAGUUCCUCAUGUGGGAAUUAACCCACGCGGUAUUCGAC
rnacentral:piRNA from 1 species